AGCGAACGCUGGCGGCAGGCUUAACACAUGCAAGUCGAACGGGCACUUCGGUGCUAGUGGCAGACGGGUGAGUAACACGUGGGAACGUACCUUUCGGUUCGGAAUAAUCCAGGGAAACUUGGACUAAUACCGGAUACGCCCUUCGGGGGAAAGAUUUAUCGCCGAUAGAUCGGCCCGCGUCUGAUUAGCUAGUUGGUGAGGUAAUGGCUCACCAAGGCGACGAUCAGUAGCUGGUCUGAGAGGAUGAUCAGCCACAUUGGGACUGAGACACGGCCCAAACUCCUACGGGAGGCAGCAGUGGGGAAUAUUGGACAAUGGGCGCAAGCCUGAUCCAGCCAUGCCGCGUGAGUGAUGAAGGCCUUAGGGUUGUAAAGCUCUUUUGUCCGGGAAGAUAAUGACUGUACCGGAAGAAUAAGCCCCGGCUAACUUCGUGCCAGCCGCCGCAGUAAAAC
rnacentral:rRNA from 1 species